rnacentral:rRNA from 1 species
AGGAUGAACGCUGGCGCGGUGCCUAACGACGAUGCAAGUCGAACGUCCUGUCUCGCAAGAGGCAGGGAGUGGCGGACGGGUGAGUACCACGUGGGUUAUCUACCGUGAGGUGAGGAAUACCGGCGAGAAAUCGCCGACAAGACCGCAUAGCCUCGGUGCAAGCCGAGGAAAGCUUUCUCGAGAGAGGGAGCGCCACACGAGGAGCCUGCGCCCGAUUAGCUAGCUGGUGGAGUAACGGUUCACCAGGGCGACGAUCGGUAGCUGGUCUGAGAGGACGAUCAGCCACACUGGGAUUGAGAACGGCCCAGACUCCUACGGGGGGCAGCAGUGAGGAAUUUCGUCAAUGGGGGCAACCCUGAACGAGCAACGCCGCGUGCAGGAAGAAGGUUUUCGGAUCGUAAACUGCUUUUCGUCGGGGAAGAGAACGGACGGUACCCGAGGAAUCAGCCCCGGCUAACUACGUGCCAGCAGCCGCGGUAA